CCCCCAACAGUGACCUUUCAGAAUUUUCUCCAUUGAAACUCCGCAUUGGGGGCUCCUUGCAAGAUAAGGUCAUAUAUGGCGUGGAUCCUCAACAGCCAUGUACUCCUUUUGUUAAGAAAAAAUCUGAGAUGUUUGGUUUUUCUCAAGGCUGCCUACCCAUGCAUAGAUGGGAUGAACUCAAUGGUUUCUUCAAAAAAGCCGGAGCUGUAAUCAUUUUUGGGCUGAAUGCCCUUAAUGGAAGGGUUCAUUUGCCGGGUGGUUCUUUAGGAGGACCCUGGAACUCCACCAACGCUGCAUCUUUUAUUCACUACACUGUCAAUAAGGGUUACACUAUCCAUGGUUGGGAGCUUGGUAAGAGUCAUGUCCCAUUUAGAUUCCUCACUUCAUAAAGAUUUUGCUCAAUAGAGAUAGUACUGAAGUUAGAAUAAACAAUGACAAAAGAUUAACAAACAGCUGAUCUAAUUCAAUGGGAUGUUAAAAAUCUUUUAUAUUUAA